rnacentral:rRNA from 1 species
CCUACGGGUGGCUGCAGUGGGGAAUCUUGCACAAUGCGCGAAAGCGUGAUGCAGCAACGCCGCGUGGGGGAAGACGGCCUUCGGGUUGUAAACCCCUUUCAGUUGGGACGAAGCUUCGUUGAUUAAGAGUUGACUGGAGUGACGGUACCUUCAGAAGAAGCCCCGGCUAACUACGUGCCAGCAGCCGCGGUAAUACGUAGGGGGCAAGCGUUGUCCGGAAUCAUUGGGCGUAAAGCGCGUGUAGGCGGUUCGGUAAGUCUGCUGUGAAAGUCCAG